GUACACGCUGUGACUAGCAUAUCAAUAAGCGGAGGAAAAGAAACUAACAAGGAUUCCCUUAGUAACGGCGAGUGAAGCGGGAAGAGCUCAAAUUUGAAAUCUUGAAAGGUCACCUUUCACGAAUUGUAGUUUAAAGAAGUGUUUUCUGUUACGAUCGUAAUAUAAGUUCUUUGGAAUAGGACAUCAUCAGAGGGUGAGAAUCCCGUCUAUGAUUGCAUAUUUUUAGCUUUGUGAUACACUUUCAAAGAGUCGGAUUGUUUGGGAAUGCAGUCCCAAACUGGGUGGUAAAUUUCAUUCUAAAGCUAAAUAUUGGCGAGAGACCGAUAGCGAACAAGUACCGUGAGGGAAAGAUGAAAAGAACUUUGAAAAGAGAGUUAAAUAGUACGUGAAAUUGUCAAAAGGGAAGCGUUUAACACCAGUGUUGUUUUCUGAAAAUCAACCUCUGUUAGCUUUAUGCAUGUUUGUUUAGACCUAAUCAGCUAUCUUGCAUGUUCUAUUGUUUGCAGUGGUGCACUUUUCAGUUUACAGGUCAACAUCAGUUUUUUUUACCGUAAAAAAGUUAAAGAAAGGUAGCUCAUGGCUCCGGUCGUGAGUGUUAUAGUCUUUUUCCUAUGCGGUAGGAGAGACUGAGGUCUGCAGUGUAGGCUAUUUGGCUAGAUACUCAGGUGCUAUGUGAUACCAUUUCAUAAACAACUUGUUGAUUAUGUUUUGUCUAUUGCAUACUCGCUUGUACUAUCAUACCUACGCUUAGGAUGUUGAGUAGCGACAUACGCAC
rnacentral:rRNA from 1 species